rnacentral:rRNA from 1 species
ACGGGGCGCAGCAGGCGCGAAACCUUUGCAAUGUGCGCAAGCACGACAAGGUUAAUCCGAGUGUUUCCUGUUAAAGGAAUCUUUUGUUAGUUCUAAAACCACUGAUGAAUAAGGGGUGGGCAAGUUCUGGUGUCAGCCGCCGCGGUAAAACCAGCACCUCAAGUGGUCAGGAUGAUUAUUGGGCCUAAAGCAUCCGUAGCCUGUUCUGUAAGUUUCCGGUUAAAUCCAUUAGCUCAACUAAUGGGCUGCCGAAAAUACUGCAAAACUAGGGAGUGGGAGAGGUAGACGGUACUCGGUAGGAAGGGGUAAAAUCCUUUGAUCUAUUGAUGACCACCUGUGGCGAAGGCGGUCUACCAGAACACGUUCGACGGUGAGGGAUGAAAGCUGGGGGAGCAAACCGGAUUAGAUACCCGGGUAGUCCCAGCUGUAAACGAUGCAGACUCGAUGAUGCAAUGGCAUAGAGCUAUUGCAGUAUCGCGGGGAAGCCGUUAAGUCUGCCGCCUGGGAAGUACGUACGCAAGUAUGAAACUUAAAGGAAUUGGCGGGGGAGCACCACAAGGGGUGAAGCCUGCGGUUCAAUUGGAGUCAACGCCGGG